UACGUAGGCAGCAAGCGUUGUUCGGAAUUACUGGGCGUAAAGAGUGUGUAGGCGGUGCUCUAAGUUCGGUGUGAAAUCUCCUGGCUCAACUGGGAGGGUGCGCCGGAAACUGGGGUGCUGGAGCGCGGGAGAGGAAAGCGGAAUUCCUGGUGUAGCGGUGAAAUGCGUAGAUAUCAGGAAGAACACCUAUGGCGAAGGCAGCUCUCUGGGACGGUACUGACGCUGAGACGCGAAAGCGUGGGGAGCGAACAGG
rnacentral:rRNA from 1 species